rnacentral:rRNA from 1 species
UGGGGAAUAUUGGACAAUGGGGGGAACCCUGACCCAGCCAUGCCGCGUGUGUGAAGAAGGUCUUCGGAUUGUAAAGCACUUUAAGUUGGGAGGAAGGGCAGUAAGCGAAUACCUUGCUGUUUUGACGUUACCGACAGAAUAAGCACCGGCUAACUCUGUGCCAGCAGCCGCGGUAAUACAGAGGGUGCAAGCGUUAAUCGGAAUUACUGGGCGUAAAGCGCGCGUAGGUGGUUCGUUAAGUUGAAUGUGAAAGCCCCGGGCUCAACCUGGGAACUGCAUCCAAAACUGGCGAGCUAGAGUAGGGCAGAGGGUGGUGGAAUUUCCUGUGUAGCGGUGAAAUGCGUAGAUAUAGGAAGGAACACCAGUGGCGAAGGCGACCACCUGGGCUCAUACUGACACUGAGGUGCGAAAGCGUGGGGAGCAAACAGG